CUUUAUUUCAUGAUGUCUACUAUUUUUUGGUUAUUUUUCCAGAAUUUGUGCUCGGUUGGAUUUUAAAUUUGCCUAGGGAUUGUUCACGCAUAUGCUAUCUUGCACUUUGCUUGCUUUUCCAUUUGUGAAAUGAUGAUGGUUGAUCCAAUGAAUGUGAAAAUUGACAUGCUUAAACUAGACAUCCUAAUUGAUCUUUUGGUGUCGAGUUUGCAUUUUUAGCAUUUUAGGUUGUUGAGUUAUGAUCUGUUU
rnacentral:lncRNA from 1 species